UUGAGAUACAAUAUUUAAAAC
rnacentral:piRNA from 1 species